GCGGGCUAAUACAUGCAGUCGAGCGRACCGACGGGAGCUUGCUCCCUUAGGUUAGCGGCGGACGGGUGAGUAACACGUGGGUAACCUGCCUGUAAGACUGGGAUAACUCCGGGAAACCGGGGCUAAUACCGGAUGCUUGAUUGAACCGCAUGGUUCAAUCAUAAAAGGCGGCUUCGGCUGCCGUUUACAGAUGGACCCGCGGCGCAUUAGCUAGUUGGUGAGGUAACGGCUCACCAAGGCGACGAUGCGUAGCCGACCUGAGAGGGUGAUCGGCCACACUGGGACUGAGACACGGCCCAGACUCCUACGGGAGGCAGCAGUAGGGAAUCUUCCGCAAUGGACGAAAGUCUGACGGAGCAACGCCGCGUGAGUGAUGAAGGUUUUCGGAUCGUAAAGCUCUGUUGUUAGGGAAGAACAAGUACCGUUCGAAUAGGGCGGUACCUUGACGGUACCUAACCAGAAAGCCACGGCUAACUACGUGCCAGCAGCCGCGGUAAUACGUAGGUGGCAAGCGUUGUCCGGAAUUAUUGGGCGUAAAGCGCGCGCAGGCGGUUUCUUAAGUCUGAUGUGAAAGCCCCCGGCUCAACCGGGGAGGGUCAUUGGAAACUGGGGAACUUGAGUGCAGAAGAGGAGAGUGGAAUUCCACGUGUAGCGGUGAAAUGCGUAGAGAUGUGGAGGAACACCAGUGGCGAAGGCGACUCUCUGGUCUGUAACUGACGCUGAGGCGCGAAAGCGUGGGGAGCGAACAGGAUUAGAUACCCUGGUAGUCCACGCCGUAAACGAUGAGUGCUAAGUGUUAGAGGGUUUCCGCCCUUUAGUGCUGCAGCAAACGCAUUAAGCACUCCGCCUGGGGAGUACGGUCGCAAGACUGAAACUCAAAGGAAUUGACGGGGGCCCGCACAAGCGGUGGAGCAUGUGGUUUAAUUCGAAGCAACGCGAAGAACCUUACCAGUCUUGACAUCCUCUGACACCCCUAGAGAUAGGCUUCCYCUUCGGGGGCAGAGUGACAGGUGGUGCAUGGGUUGUCGUCAGCUCGUGUCGUGAGAAUGGUGGGUAGUCCCGCACGAGCGCACCCGUGGAUCUAGUGCAGCAUCAGUGGGCACUCUAGUGACUGCCGUGACAAUCGAGAAGUGGGAKACGUCGACWCAUGUCCCUAUGACUGGCGGGC
rnacentral:rRNA from 1 species